GAUGAAUGCUGGCGGCGUGCCUAACACAUGCAAGUCGAGCGGUAAGGCCCUUCGGGGUACACGAGCGGCGGACGGCUGAGUAACGCGUGGGAAUUUGCCCCAAAGUGAGGAAUAACUGCCCGAAAGGGUAGCUAAUGCCGCAUAUGGUCUUCGGAUUAAAGGAUUUAUCCGCUUUGGGAGAAGCCCGCGUUGGAUUAGGUAGUUGGUGAGAUAAAAGCUCACCAAGCCAACGAUCCAUAGCUGGUCUGAGAGGAUGACCAGCCAGACUGGAACUGAGACACGGUCCAGACCCCUACGGGAGGCAGCAGUGAGGAAUCUUCCACAAUGGGCGAAAGCCUGAUGGAGCAACGCCGCGUGCAGGAUGAAGGCCUUCGGGUUGUAAACUGCUUUUAUGAGUGAAGAAUAUGACGGUAACUCAUGAAUAAGCACCGGCUAACUACGUGCCAGCAGCCGCAGUAAAAC
rnacentral:rRNA from 1 species